AAAUCAUGUUAGGAGGGCACCCUCUGAUUAGUUGAUUGUACCUAUUACAUGCUUCAUAGAGGGAUUCACCAUCUUUCUGUUUGAAGGUCUGAACUUCUAUCCUAAGCUU